rnacentral:rRNA from 1 species
UGUGGCCUACGGGAGGCAGCAGUGAGGAAUAUUGGUCAAUGGACGAGAGUCUGAACCAGCCAAGUAGCGUGAAGGAUGACUGCCCUAUGGGUUGUAAACUUCUUUUAUAUGGGAAUAAAAUGUUCCACGUGUGGGAUUUUGUAUGUACCAUAUGAAUAAGGAUCGGCUAACUCCGUGCCAGCAGCCGCGGUAAUACGGAGGAUCCGAGCGUUAUCCGGAUUUAUUGGGUUUAAAGGGAGCGUAGGUGGAUUGUUAAGUCAGCGGUAAAAUUGAGAGGCUCAACCUCUUCGAGCCGUUGAAACUGG